GUAUUGAUUGCGUGUGACCGCAAAAUAAAUAAAUAAAAAGAACAUUCUACACUGUAUCAAGUUUUGUGUGAAAACGCAAGCCCUCCUGCAAAGGGGGGCCCACGCGGUGAUGCACAAAAGGGGUGAGAUGGAUGUGUGAGAGCGCUUUGGGCGUGCACAACCUUUGAGGGUCAGCGACAGCCCUUGGCACCUCGGUUGUACGAUAAUGAUCCUUCCGCAGGUUCACCUACGGAAA
rnacentral:misc_RNA from 1 species